rnacentral:rRNA from 1 species
UGGAAGUUAAAAAAGUCGUAACAAGGUUUCCGUAGGUGAACCUGCGGAAGGAUCAUUACCGAGUGAGGGCCCUCUGGGUCCAACCUCCCACCCGUGUCUAUCGUACCUUGUUGCUUCGGCGGGCCCGCCGUUUCGACGGCCGCCGGGGAGGCCUUGCGCCCCCGGGCCCGCGCCCGCCGAAGACCCCAACAUGAACGCUGUUCUGAAAGUAUGCAGUCUGAGUUGAUUAUCGUAAUCAGUUAAAACUUUCAACAACGGAUCUCUUGGUUCCGGCAUCGAUGAAGAACGCAGCGAAAUGCGAUAAGUAAUGUGAAUUGCAGAAUUCAGUGAAUCAUCGAGUCUUUGAACGCACAUUGCGCCCCCUGGUAUUCCGGGGGGCAUGCCUGUCCGAGCGUCAUUGCUGCCCUCAAGCACGGCUUGUGUGUUGGGCCCCCGUCCCCCUCUCCCGGGGGACGGGCCCGAAAGGCAGCGGCGGCACCGCGUCCGGUCCUCGAGCGUAUGGGGCUUUGUCACCUGCUCUGUAGGCCCGGCCGGCGCCAGCCGACACCCAACUUUAUUUUUCUAAGGUUGACCUCGGAUCAGGUAGGGAUACCCGCUGAACUUAAGCAUAUCAAUA